GAUGAACGCUAGCGGCAGGCUUAAUACAUGCAAGUCGAGGGGCAGCAGGACUGUAGCAAUACAGUUGCUGGCGACCGGCAAACGGGUGCGGAACACGUACGCAACCUUCCUUCAAAUGGGGGAUAGCCCACCGAAAGGUGGAUUAAUACCCCGUAAGAUUUUCUGGUGGCAUCACUGGAUUAUUAUAGCUCCGGCGUUUG
rnacentral:rRNA from 1 species